AGUGAACGCUGGCGGUAGGCCUAACACAUGCAAGUCGAACGGCAGCACAGUAAGAGCUUGCUCUUACGGGUGGCGAGUGGCGGACGGGUGAGGAAUACAUCGGAAUCUUCUUUUUCGUGGGGGAUAACGUAGGGAAACUUACGCUAAUACCGCAUACGACCUACGGGUGAAAGCAGGGGAUCUUCGGACCUUGCGCGAUUGAAUGAGCCGAUGUCGGAUUAGCUAGUUGGCGGGGUAAAGGCCCACCAAGGCGACGAUCCGUAGCUGGUCUGAGAGGAUGAUCAGCCACACUGGAACUGAGACACGGUCCAGACUCCUACGGGAGGCAGCAGUGGGGAAUAUUGGACAAUGGGCGCAAGCCUGAUCCAGCUAUACCGCGUGGGUGAAGAAGGCCUUCGGGUUGUAAAGCCCUUUUGUUGGGAAAGAAAAGCAGCAGGUUAAUACCCCGCUGUUCUGACGGUACCCAAAGAAUAAGCACCGGCUAACUUCGUG
rnacentral:rRNA from 1 species